UACGGAGGGUGCAAGCGUUGCUCGGAAUUACUGGGCGUAAAGCGGGCGCAGGCGGCCUGUCAGGUCAGGUGUGAAAGCCCGGGGCUCAACCCCGGAACUGCAUCUGAAACCGGCAAGCUUGAGUACGAGAGAGGGAAGCGGAAUUCCUGGUGUAGAGGUGAAAUUCGUAGAUAUCAGGAGGAACACCAGCGGCGAAGGCGGCUUCCUGGCUCGAUACUGACGCUCAUGCCCGAAAGCGUGGGGAGCAAACAGG
rnacentral:rRNA from 1 species